UAGAGUUUUUACAACUCCCAACCCAUGUGAACUUACCAUUGUUGCCUCGGCGGGUCCUACCCGGUACCUACCCUGUAGCCCGCCGAUGGAUUUUCAAACUAUUGUUAUUUUAUGUUAUCUGAACGUCUUAUUUUAAUAAGUUA
rnacentral:misc_RNA from 1 species